rnacentral:lncRNA from 1 species
GCCAGGUGAGCCUCGGAAAAGUCUGGCCCAGUGAGGCUUAGGAGUGGUGGCCUGUUGGGAAAGCACCUCCAGGCCUCUGGGACCAUCUCUCUCCGGGUGCGGGCAUAGUCCCAAUCGAGAGGAGCGGUGGGGAGGGGCCGGGUGUGGACCCCGAGCUUCCCAUGGACGUAGACAACUUUGCAGCAGUCCUGGACCUGGGAGCGGAGGACCGGCCUGGACGGCGGGGACCGGUGCUUCUGGGCUCGGGGCAGCACCCUGGCCCGGGGCCAGCCCAGGAACCAGCUCAGGUAGUUGCCCAUGACAGCAGUGCAAUGGUCGGGACCUUCUGUUAGAAAUUCGGCUUCCAGAAGUUUCCGAAGUCUGCCGCCAGGGCCAAGUGU